CAGUUAUCGACCGGAUCUUGCCUCGAUCGGAUCGGUCCGAACGGACUGGACCGGAUCGGACCCGGGUGACACCUCCAGCAACCUUUGUGUGUGUGUGGAGGCACGUUUUUCAAUUUCCAGACGAAACGAAAGAACUCGAUCGGGGUUCGGUUGAUUACAUUUAUCUAUCAAGCAUAUGCACGAUCCUCUCAUCCGGUUCCCUCAUCGACCGGCGGUGUACGGGUCGGUCAACAGCAACAGGUAUGUGUUGUUAUGUUUCGUACGUAUUCUGUCCGUUUUCGUUUCGUUUUUCUUUAUUUAAUCCAUUCCCAGGCAUACGCCAUCAUCUUCCGCCGCCAGGCCUAGUGUUCAUCCCCGAUCUUGACCCGAUCUUGGGUGGGUUCGGCGGGAUUGAAAUUGCUAUAACUGUUUGGCGGCGUAAUUGGAUUACUCUACGUUCUGGUUCGGUCUCGAAUCUGGCUCGAAUCUGACCUCACUGACCGAGAGAACGGGGCUCACAGAUCGUGGAAAACGGGAGCUGAUCAAGAACGCUGACUAGCGGGCAGCACGAGAAGAAGCGUAAAUUGUGCGCAAGUGCCCCCACCAAAUGUGGGCUAAUCGAACGAAGUAAGGCAGUAAGAUUCUUUCCUCAGGGCGAGAGGAAAAGGUGGUAAAGAAUUGAAUUAGACCGGCGUACGAGAGGUUGCAUAAUUCGCCAGAAGAAUUGGGUCUAUGUGAUUAUUUCUACUCCUUAAGAACUUGCCAAGGCGGAGGGCUUUUGCCUUAAAGACGAUGAUUUGCCAAAAUGGCACACAAUUCCAAUUUCAAUUUGAAUCUCUUAAUUCAAUUAACUCCACUUAACAUCGUCGCGUCGCGUUCGUCGUUUUGCGGGUUCAUCGCUUGAUGUCGCGUUGAAGUCUUUUGUCUGAUGCGUGCACGCCCGUUUCGUGACGUGUGGUGCGGUGGUUGCGAUCAAACUCAAGCAAUCGAUGAUGAUGAUGAUGAUGAUGGGGUUCUGGUUUUAUGUCACGACGUGACAAUCUGUUUCCAUCCAUCCGUCCUAACCCUACGCCCGAUGACCGGGAUGACCGAACCGUUAGCUUUGGCAAAUGGGAGGAAAUUAUUUCUCCCUUGCACCAAACCCCACCACCCCACUUUAUCCUACCUAUCGGUUUCGGAUCGGUUAAAAGUUGACAGUAACGGAAUGGUGACGGUUUUGCGGACAUUAGAUCACAUCGAACAUCAGGCGUUUCGUGGGGGUGAGUUGGGAAUUUGAAACCACACGAGCUGACCAACACCCUCGUCCAGGGGGUGCUUUUGAAGAGACCAACCCUGUCGUCUAACAGCACAACGAGGAGGAUGGGUUGAAAGUGAUCUUAUCACCACCCCACAGGAACGACCGUUCCAUGACAUCGUGUCCAAUUUGUCAUGGCCAAUGUAAAGAAGAAUUUGUCACCCGGUUGGACACACCGAGACGCGAUGCAUUCAAUGGAAAUCAGUUCCGUCCUGUCGGUCGCCCAUUUCCCGAAGAGAGAGAGAGAGAGCAGGAGGGUGUGUUUUCCUCCCCGAAGUACCAUUUCUAUUAACGAGCCAGUGUGUGCUUCUUUGUUGUUUGUAAGUAAACUAUGUACAUUCAUCGCUCGUAACAGAACGCCCCAAAAGGGUUGGGUGAUGACAUCAAGGGAUGAUCGUUUAGAGAUCGAACUCCCCACCAAGCCUUUAAUAGCACAACUUUCACACCCUUUGGACUGGCGCCUGGUCGCGAUUGGAUUGGUUCGUGUGUAUAACCGCGCGGGACACAUCGUUGAAGACACGGGCACUGUUGGGGAGCGUCGGUUCUUAGCGUCGGUUAAUGACUACCAUUCAAAGCCGGUGCUGCCUCUCGGUCAAGACGCAUGUGAUAACGAGCGAUUUCCCAGCGAGCGCAGGGAACCGGUUCGCCCGGCCGGCAAAAUGGGACGCCCGGCAGCGUCCGAUCCCGAUUUAUUGACGUCGGCCAAGCGUCAGCGUCUUUUCCCUUUCCCGGUGGACAACGUUUCUAAAACGCUGACCCAGAAAGCAACGACCAGCAUGACGGGGAGUUUUUAAUUAAAAGCAUCUACUAGCAUAAUCGGUGGCUCGGUGUAAGGUAAAGCAACCUUGAAGCGUGCACUUCCAGCCGGUGUGCGCUGCAGCUUGGAAAUAAUUACAUGAUCUUCAACCGGCGGUUUGUACAGAAGAUGGUAGGCGAUCGGGUACGGGUGAGGAUCACCUACGCGUGGUCGUAGCACGCUCUGUCACAACGUCGUCUGCCGUUUGGUACGAAACACCGGAUGACUUUGAGCCCGAUGUCGAAAUAUAGAACAUCAGAUAUAGUUGCCGCGCGACACACACACACACACACGAUCACUGAGCUCAGUGAGCUUUGGUUCGUAGAUCGUGAGCGGGUGGUGGUAGAUUGCGGUUGCGUAGUGUGGCUUCUUCGGUUGCGGAAGUGAGCCAACGGUUAUUAGCGUUGUUGUCAUCGAGCAUCGUGUUUAGCCGGUGAGGUGGUGUACUACAGAUUUUAUUAUCUAAAAUUGGGCCACCCAAGGGAAACCCAUUUUGCACGUAUUAGUUUGCAAUUAGUAGUAACUGUAAGCUUGGCAGUAAUGCUUAUCCCACGUAAAAGCAUUUUUUUCCUUUCAUGUUUAUUUGGACCAUCACUCAUCGGAUGGGGGUUUUUUUGGUCAAAAAUUUGCAAUGCAACCUUAAACGAUCGCUGAACAAAGUAAUUUUGAUUGCGAAAAAAGAAUAAAAGAAAAGCGUUUAUACCCCCAAGAAAAUAAAACAAAUGGGAGAAAAGAAAGAACGAAUGAAGGAGAACACAAAGUGCUGGGUCGCUUGCAGAAGUUGCAGAAAGAAUCGGAUCUGCAUCAUCGUCAGCGCGGUGCUGAUCGAUGAGGAACGUGCGUGGUAAGAGAAUUGUACGAACAUUCAAUUUCGUUUCUGGACCUGCAUGC